CGUUGUGUGUUCGGGUUACAGUGGAUGACGCCUGGGCCACCCUUCUACGUGGGCCCUCUGCUGCAGUCACGGUGAGCGUAUGCGCGCGCGUUCAGCUCGAAAAGGGGAUGGGUUGCGACGAUCGUGGGCUGCAGGGCGUGCGGUCAAAACCUAGCCCCCAAUCCCUUCCUUCCCGAGCCCCGCGCCCCACGCCCCACUCCAUCUCCUCCCAUGCACUCCGCCGCCGCCAUGGCCCUCUCCUCCUCCCCUCGGUUUCUCUUCUCUUGGCAAAAGGACGGCCGGCGUUCAACUCGGCACGACGGCGUUCAACUUGACAAAAGGGUGACACCUUCCUUCCUCUCCAAAGCAAGGGAAGGGAAGGGGAGGGGAGGGGAGGCCCCAGAUUGAGGAGCGGAGCGAUGCCCAGAUCCGCAGCGGCACCGGCACCGGCGCGCCGUCGUCCACGUGGUCCUCGAGAGGAAGGCCAUGGAUGGAUGGGGGCGGAACCAUAGCCCCACACCCAUCCAUGGAUGACGACGGCGGUGGCCUUCUCUCGGUCGGGUGGGGAGCAAAGCUUGCGGUGGCCCUCGACGCCCGCGACGGGCUGCAGCACCCAGACUUCAAAGGCAGGCCAUCACAAUGGAAAUGGAAGGAUGAGCACCAUGGCGGGCGUGCAGGUGCAGGCCAUCGCCAUGGCCCCUUAUGUCGUCCUACACUAUACUUUCCUGAAGCAUGCAUAUGAAACAAAUCUCUCGAAUACUACUACACAGAUUUCUCUUUUGUGCAGCAACUAGAUUUUCGGGCACUAAAAAUUAUUGUUUGUUGCAGGCACGGUUUACACAAACACAUCCUGUUUCAAUGGCUCAAACUGUUGGUCCUCCCAUGGCAAUGUUCCCUGCUGGUGUUCAUGGAGUUAGUCAGCAACUUUUUUAUGAUCUGAGAAAGAAGAGAAGAAGAAUCCUGAGGAAGAUUUUGGUGAAGAACAAGAUGGCUAAUCAAAUGAUGUCUCUUCACAAAACAUUGAAGAUACAUAAUGCGCUCUGGCAUGCACAUACUUGUUUCACCGCAACCCCCACAAAAGGAGCAGCCUGGUGAGGAGGGAAAGCAUCACCAAUAUGGAUGAUACAAUCCAACUGUUAUCUUUGGUGUGUUUUUGGAUGGACUAAUCUGAAGAUGCUGGCUAGCUUGCACUGCCAUCAUAUAGUCUAGAAGCAAGGGCAAGGAUUAUAGGGAUAAUAAAGGCAAUUCACCAUCCGGAGGAAAUGCCAACUAAUAUUUUUUGGUACUAUUUCUGUUACCGAGGCCAACGACGGCAGCUAGCAAUGACACAUACGCAUAUCAACAAUUCCAGGGAAGUGCAUUUGUCAGGAUGCAUAUAUGUGUGUAUGUGCCUGAUCAUCUGCGAUUUAAUUGGAAAGUACACUUCAGCAUAUGAAGCACUCAGCUAAAUAUUUUAUACUACAAUAUACCCAUCUCGAUGAUUAGAGCAGCCCCAGCCGCUAAUUAGUGCUAAUUAGUACUCAAAUGUUGAAUCACUUACCCGCAAAAAAAAGUUGAAUCACUCAGCUAAGUAUCAACACUGCCCUCGAGACUUGGCUAUUAGCAUAGUAGCAACGAGCUAACAAAAAAUUCUACAGAUUCAUCAAACACCGAAGGAGGUUAGUUUUUACCCGUGCAACAAUGGCGGCCAUCGUGGUCUUGUUGGAGCCUCCCUUGCUGUGGAAAGUCACAGGCUUCAGGGAGUGCCGGCACAGCCUGAACAGGUGCCACCUACACUGGAAGAAAAAAAUAUUAUUUGAAUUAUAUAAAGUGAACCAUGCUACAAUGGAAAAGAACCAUGCGAUGAAAAAAGAAAGGCACAAAGAGCUGCUGGAUGAUGAUUUCGAUGAUUAUGACAGCGACCAUUAUUAUGAAAGCCUACCUUAGCAGAUUCUUCAGUACUGAAUUCGGACCCGUGGAGGAAGCAAUAGUAAUUAACUUUUCUAGGAGUACUGAAUUCGGACAUGUGGAUGAGAUUCCCAGAGUUAGUGUCAGAUCAUCAGUCUCCAAGAUCACCACUUACCGCCAAUAUCACUGAGAAUGCUCCUUAUAACACUCAGUCCACAUGGUGAUGCAUGCAGUGAGAGCAAUGUCCAAAGCCAGCAUGAUGAUGAGUGCAGCAGAAGCAAUGGCGAAAGCCUGCCGGAUGGUGAAUCCACCUCAAAUGGUACUUUAUGUGAUUACUGUGAGCAUACUAAAGUAUGAUUUGAUCGAGUCAUCUGCAGCAAAGCCUGAUUUGAUUGUGUCUGAACCUCCUGAAAAAAUCGAACAAGGACCAUUACAGAAGCCUGAUUUGGUCGAGUCCGCACCUACAAAGAAACUUGAUUUGAUUGAAUCCAGUACUCCUAGGAAGGCUGAUUUGGUUCAGCCUGGGCCUGCAGGGGAGCUUCAUUUGGUUGAGUCCAGACCUUCUAGGAAUUCUCAACUGAUUGAGCCUGGACCUGCAAGGAAGCUUGAUUUUAAUCAACCCUGACCAACAACAUGCUUUGUUGAUCAUCCUGUUGAAAGGCCAGCAGUCACUCCAAGCAGCUACGAGAAUGAAAUGAGAUUCUGCUUCCACUCACAGUGGGUCGUGGAUACAAGCAAGGGCGGCACCAUUUCCGGUUCCACAGCUCCGAGCUGCAGCGGGAGCUGCUGGGCCGCCUGAGAUGCAGAUGGAGGCGCAGCUCCUCCGAGCUGCCGGGUCGCUGAGAUGCAGAUGGAGUCGGAUCACCUCCGAGCUGCAGCAGGAGCUGAGAUGGAGAUGGAGCCGGAGCACCUUCGAGCUGCAGCAGGAGCCGCUCCGCUGCCAAGCUGUAGUGUGAUCCACCGCGAAGAUGGAGCCCAAGGUGUUCUCACUUCAGUACAGUGGGGAGAGGAACAUGAUGCAUACCUUGAACUGGUUGAUGGAACCAAGACCAGCAGUCAUGCUAGACACGUGGUCAGCGCUGCGCAUCGUGGUGGCAGUUGGUGAAGCAACUAUUGGCGGUGUUUUUGUCUCUUAGCACUUGGCAUGAUUGUAAUAUUCUUUAUCUUUGAGGUCUAUGAUGUUACUUGAACUGUAAUUCUCGUGGAGCCUUUUGGCUUCUGGCUUUAAAUAUGCUGUCCGGAUGCAUAUGUAUAGUUUCGCACUACGAACGCAGAUACUAUUGAUACUAAACUGCAUGCUUAAAACACUAUUAUUGUAUCUGACAUUAUAUACAUGUAACAGUACUCCCCUUCCGAACA